AAGUCGUAACAAGGUUUCCGUAGGUGAACCUGCGGAAGGAUCAUUAUCGUAGGGCUUCGGUCCUGUCGAGAUAGCGUCCUUGCCUAUUUUUUGGAGUACCUUUUCGUUUCCUCGGCAGGCUUGCCUGCCACUGGGGACCCUUUAAACUCUUUGUAAAUACAGCAUCUGUCUGAACAAACAAACAAAAAUCAAAACUUUCAACAAUGGAUCUCUUGGUUCUG
rnacentral:misc_RNA from 1 species